UGGGGAAUCUUGCGCAAUGGCCGAAAGGCUGACGCAGCGACGCCGCGUGCGGGAGGAAGCCCUUCGGGGUGUAAACCGCUGUCAGGGGGGAAGAAACCCAAGGGUUCGAACAGGGCCUUUGGCUGACGGUACCCCAGAGGAAGCGCCGACUAACUACGUGCCAGCAGCCGCGGUAAUACGUAGGGUGCAAGCGUUAAUCGGAAUUACUGGGCGUAAAGCGUGCGUAGGCGGUUCGGAAAGAAAGAUGUGAAAUCCCAGGGCUCAACCUUGGAACUGCAUUUCAUUACUACCGGGCUAGAGUGUGUCAGAGGGGGGUGGAAUUCCGCGUGUAGCGGUGAAAUGCGCAGAUAUCAGGAGGAACACCGGUGGCGAAGGCGGCUUGCUGGGCCUGUCCUGACGCUGAGGAGCGAAAGCGUGGGGAGCGAACAGGAUUAGAUACCC
rnacentral:rRNA from 1 species